CAGAUGACCACCUGGGGUCACAUUCAUUCAGGAAAGCCUUGUAAUUCUAAGAAUUUAAGUCCCCAACAAGGAACACUGAUUAGAACUAAUUAAGUGCACUUGCUUGAACACAGGGUACAGACAGUAAAAAAAAAAAAAGAAAGCCCAGCACACACACAAAA